rnacentral:lncRNA from 1 species
ACUAAAAUACUAAGUUUGUAAAACGCUAAAUUAAAUAUUUACAGGACUGCUGUAUACUGACAUGUGAGAUAAACUAACAAUAAUUUUUCAAUAGCACUAUUUCCACACGUUGUACACUCGGAUUUUAAUCUUUUUAAUAUUCGUUUUGAUUGCUUUCUUUCUCCAGAAACCUACAUGUACCAACGAAGCAUCGACCUGUGUUUUUAUCUGUUGCUACCACCUUAAAUUCUGUUUCAUCA